AUACAAAUGACACUUUCCAACUCAAGAAACUCGGAAUCCGUCUCUGUCCUAUAGCAAGUGGGCGCAACAUUCCAUUAAGUAGUUAGGAAAAAUGGAAUCUAGCUUUCAAAAGGCUGUGAGUGAUCUCGAACGACAAUGUUGUGUGGCGAUUGAAAUCAGAAAUGAAUCUUCCUUUACACUAUCUAAACCUGAGACUUACUGUGCCAAGGGCUGUGUUGUUCAUCCUCCACCUCCUCUCAUCGGGCCAAGAACUCAGGACUUCUGCAUCUUUGCUAAAACAGCCUUCUCUCCAUGUGGAUCAGGAGGGCUUCUAAAAUAUGAAAUUGAUGGCGAACUCAUUUUUCUUAAGUUUGAAAGUCCACUUAUAAGCAUUUUGUUCAGUCAUGAGUUUGGGUUGUAUGUCACAGAAAACAGAAUAGACAGUGAUGUGGCUAAUGAGAAAUUGCAUACAAAUUUUUCUAUUAAGUCAGAUAAAGUUAAAAGGUGCUGGAGCAACUCAGAAUUAUUGGAGUUUGAAGGCACAAGAUUUAAGAUAAUUGCCACCAUGGCACCGACUGCAAAAUCAAUAGUAAAAUUGCUUAUUAAAGAUAAAUGAGGCAAAAUAUAAAUGCUUAAAGAGUUCAGUUGCCAUGUUUCCCAUUCGCUCCUGCUUGCUUGUAAUUUCAUUAUACAAAACAUUUCUGGUGAGGGUAAAAGUGGAGGAAUGAGUGGUGCUAAUAAUAAUUUGCUACAGAAGAAAGACAAAUAAUAGCCAAAGCGUGCCUGAUUUCUUUUAAUGCAAGUAUGUUCAACUUAAAAUUGUAAUUUAACAACAAAUACUGUAAAGGCACGCUAACUGAUGCCACAAAGAGAAAGAUCUUUUCAAGAAUUAAAAAAAACAGGAGACUGCAACAGACUAAGAAUAUUGUACAGUAAAUGAAGGAGCUGAAGAAGGCUAAUACAAGGUUUAGUGUACGCAGCAAUGAAGUUCAAUCAAUAUU